rnacentral:rRNA from 1 species
AGGGAAUCUUCCACAAUGGACGCAAGUCUGAUGGAGCAACGCCGCGUGAGUGAAGAAGGUUUUCGGACCGUAAAGCUCUGUUGUUGGUGAAGAAGGAUAGAGGUAGUAACUGGCCUUUAUUUGACGGUAAUCAACCAGAAAGUCACGGCUAACUACGUGCCAGCAGCCGCGGUAAUACGUAGGCGGCAAGCGUUGUCCGGAUUUAUUGGGCGUAAAGCGAGCGCAGGCGGAAGAAUAAGUCUGAUGUGAAAAGCCCUCGGCUUAACCGAGGAAUUGCAUCGGAAACUGUUUUUCUUGAGUGCAGAAGAGGAGAGUAGAACUCCAUGUGUAGCGGUGGAAUGCGUAGAUAUAUGGAAGAAUACCAGUGGCGAAGGCGGCUCUCUGGUCUGCAACUGACGCUGAGGCUCGAAAGCAUGGGUAGCGAACAGGAUUAGAUACCCUGGUAGUCCAUGCCGUAAAACGAUGAGUGCUAAGUGUUGGGAGGCUUCCGCCUCUCAGUGCUGCAGCUAACGCAUUAAGCACUCCGCCUGGGGGAGUACGACCGCAAGGUUGAAAC